GUUGUCCUCUGGACCAUCAGUGAUCAGGGUGUUGCCCUUUUAACCUUGUGCAGUCAUCUCACCGUUUGGUCCCUCGCAAACUCCACCCAUGGCAUAGUCUGCAGCAGCUCUACAAUGGACGCACAGAAACAUGUCUAGUGAGGUGUCUUCCACUGCAAUCCAAUCUGCUUUUACUGAUGAUUCUGUUGGACCUGACAACAUUAAAGGAUUUAGUGCAGUCCAGAAGUUAGCAGAGACAUUUGCUGGACUCAGGAACCAUAGCCUUGCCUUGACGAGAGAGGAAUCUGCACAAUUAUUAGUUUGUGGCAAGGGUUGGCAGAUUAUGACAAAGAGAGAAUUGUGUACUCAGCACACCAUCAGUCCUCUCUCAACAAAGGGAGGUUUAGGGCAACCAAAAAAAUCGUAGCACCAGGAGUAGAGAGUACCAGAAGAUGUUUUGUUGGAGCAAACAGACCUGCACAGUGGCCUGACGGCUACAGAAUUGUUGAGGCAGCUUUUGUAAAACUCUGCGCUCUCUAUCCUAACCCUGUACAUCAAGGAGGGGUUAAAAUCUCACAAUUGAACUUCAUUGUAUGUGCCUACAAGCAUAUCAGAGAGUGCAUCCUGAGUUACGCUGAAGUGAUGCAGCAGACCACCCUCCAAUUACCUGAGGUACAGCAGACGUACAAAAUCUAACGAGAGGGAAAUUUUGACGCAAGGAAUUCAUACACCAGAUGCACCAAUGACAGCACCACGACUUCCACCAGCAAGAACAGAGUCUGCAGCAUGGGAGUAAUGACAGGCCUUUCGUUUUCAAUUUGCCUCCAAACACAGCCAGGAUGGCCAAAACAAGAUCUGGGCCACAUAUACCUGAAAUAAUACUGCCGCUAUCACCACCACCUGCACUGACCUCUCUUGCUAAACCAGGGCAGUCAUCUAGACCUCCGCCAGUUAUACUUCUGCUUCUGCUGCAUUUCAGCCUAUAAUGUUUAUUGUAUCACACCACAAACUGUGACACUGCCAGCAGCACCACCAACACCACAGCCUUCUGUACUGUACACCAUGAAGUACUGCAGGAAAGGGAGCAGAUGCCUGAAGUCAAGGAAAUAUGUGCAGAAGACUGAAGUAAUCCUGUGCAUGAAGUGUAACAAGGAGAGGAAACCACCAUCUCUAGUGCAUCUCAUCAGGACCAAGCUGGAGUUUUUGUCAGAUGUCCAGAGUAAUAGUCGUCUAUUAGCAGUACAUGAUUUUUCUAGCUUUAAGUUGCAGUGAGUUAAAAUAGACUUAUAUUGUCCAGUUGUUUGUUCACUUAUAGAUAGACCACCAAAAUAUAACAAACUGAAUUUUCUGAGUUCCUAACUGCAAUUGUACAGUUUUGAGAGGAUUUUAAUACUUGGUGAUUUUAACUUGCAUAUCUGGUGACCCAAAGAGCCCAUGGUGAAAGAGUUUCUACAUCUUAUUGAUUCCUUUAAUUUCACACAGUUUGUCUCAGG
ensembl:lncRNA